rnacentral:rRNA from 1 species
UACGUAGGGUGCAAGCGUUGUCCGGAAUUAUUGGGCGUAAAGAGCGUGUAGGCGGCCCGGUUAGUCCGCUGUGAAAGCCCAGGGCUCAACCCUGGAAUGCCGGUGGAUACUGUCGGGCUAGAGUCCGGAAGGGGCGAGUGGAAUUCCUGGUGUAGCGGUGAAAUGCGCAGAUAUCAGGAGGAACACCAAUGGCGAAGGCAGCUCGCUGGGACGUGACUGACGCUGAGACGCGAAAGCGUGGGGAGCAAACAGG